rnacentral:rRNA from 1 species
AGUAACGGCGAGUGAAGCGGCAACAGCUCAAAUUUGAGAUCUGGCCCUCGGGUCCGAGUUGUAAUUUGUAGAGGAUGCUUUUGGUGCGGUGCCUUCCGAGUUCCCUGGAACGGGACGCCAUAGAGGGUGAGAGCCCCGUCUGGUCGGAUACCAAUCCUCUGUAAAGCUCCUUCGACGAGUCGAGUAGUUUGGGAAUGCUGCUCUAAAUGGGAGGUAUAUGUCUUCUAAAGCUAAAUACCGGCCAGAGACCGAUAGCGCACAAGUAGAGUGAUCGAAAGAUGAAAAGCACUUUGAAAAGAGGGUUAAACAGUACGUGAAAUUGUUGAAAGGGAAGCGCUUGUGACCAGACUUGGGCAUGGUUAAUCAUCCAGCGUUCUCGCUGGUGCACUUGGCCUGCCCAGGCCAGCAUCAGUUCGGCGCGGGGGAUAAAGGCUUCGGGAAUGUGGCUCCUCCGGGAGUGUUAUAGCCCGUUGCGCAAUACCCUGCGCUGGACUGAGGUUCGCGCAUCUGCAUGGAUGCUGGCGUAAUGGUCAUCAGCGACCCGUCUUGAAACACGGACCAAGGAGUCGUCCUCGUAUGCGAGUGUUCGGGUGUUAAACCCCUACGCGUAAUGAAAGUGAACGCAGGUGAGAGCUUCGGCGCAUCAUCGACCGAUCCUGAUGUUCUCGGAUGGAUUUGAGUAAGAGCAUACGGGGCCGGACCCGAAAGAAGGUGAACUAUGCCUGUAUAGGGUGAAGCCAGAGGAAACUCUGGUGGAGGCUCGCAGCGGUUCUGACGUGCAAAUCGAUCGUCAAAUAUGGGCAUGGGGGCGAAAGACUAAUCGAACCUUCUAGUAGCUGGUUUCCGCGA